AGCCGGCCGUCUAAGUUUUCGGUUAAAUCUAUGCGCUUAACGUAUAGGCCGCCGAAAAUACUGGACAGCUAGGGAGUGGGAGAGGUACACGGUACUCAAUAGGAAGGGGUAAAAUCCUUUGAUCUAUUGAUGACCACCUGUGGCGAAGGCGGUGUACCAGAACACGUUCGACGGUGAGGGAUGAAAGCUGGGGGAGCAAACCGGAUUAGAUACCCGGGUAGUCCCAGCUGUAAACGAUGCAGACUCGGUGAUGCAUUGGCUUGUGGCCAAUGCAGUGCCGCAGGGAAGCCGUUAAGUCUGCCGACUGGGAAGUACGUACGCAAGUAUGAAACUUAAAGGAAUUGGCGGGGGAGCACCACAAGGGGUGAAGCCUGCGGUUCAAUUGGAGUCAACGCCAGAAACCUUACCCGGGGCGACAGCAGAAUGAAGGUCAAGCUGAAGACUUUACCAGACAAGCUGAGAGGUGGUGCAUGGCCGUCGCCAGCUCGUGCCGUGAGAUGUCCUGUUAAGUCAGGUAACGAGCGAGACCCCUGCGUCUAGUUGCUACCAUUACUCUCUGGAGUAGUGGAGCGAAUUAGACGGACCGCCACAGUUAAUGUGGAGGAAGGAAGGGGCCACGGCAGGUCAGUAUGCCCCGAAACCCUGGGGCCACACGCGGGCUGCAAUGGUAUUGACAAUGUGUUCCGAAUCCGAAAGGAGGAGGCAAUCAUCAAACGAUACCUCAGUUAUGACUGAGGGCUGUAACUCGCCCUCACGAAUAUGGAAUCCCUAGUAACUGCGCGUCAC
rnacentral:rRNA from 1 species